CUCCAUCCGCCCAUUUUAAGUGCAACCAUAAGUUUCCGCACUCAACUAACUUUGAUCAUCCGUCUUAUUUGAAAUUUUUUUAUAAUUAGUAUUUUUGCUGUUAUGAGAUGAUAAAACAUGAAUAACACUUUACUUGUGACUUAUGUUGGGAGCGUUCAAAUAAGACGGACGUUCAAAGUUGGAAGCGAAAAACCAUGGCUGCACUUAAAAUGGGACAUAGGGAGUAAAAA
rnacentral:pre_miRNA from 1 species